CUGCGUACACGUUAGCGAGCUGCACGUAAGCAGUCGAGCUCAUGGGAUCGAGCUCGGCCAAGUUCUUUGCUGCAAACUCUGCAACUUCUGCAUUCUUGUGCACCCUGCAGGCACCCAGAAGGGUCCCGUAUAUAGCCGGAUGAGGUUUGAAAGGCAUGUUCUUGAUCAACUCGACUGCUGAGUCAAGCUUACCCGCUCGACUUAGUAGAUCAACCAUACAACUAUAAUGAUCCGGCCUAGGCUCCACCCCGUAAUCCUUCC
rnacentral:lncRNA from 1 species